UUUUAGACAAUGGGGGAAAGCCGGAUCCAGCCAUCGCCCGUGUGCGAUGAAGGUAAUCGGGUUGUAAAGAACAUUUGUUAGGGAAGAAAAGGUUCUGGCUAAUACCCGCAACUGUUGACGGCACCUCAAUAAUAAGCACAGACUAACUACGUACUUUCAGCCGCGGUAAUACGUAGGGUGCAAGCGUCAAUCGGAAUUACUGUGCGUAAACCGUGCGCAGGCGGUUCGGAAAGAAGGAUGUGAAAUCCCAGGGCUCAACCUUGGAACUGCAUUCUUAACUACCGAACUAGAGUAUGUCAGAGGGGGGUAGAAUUCCGCGUGUAGCAGUGAAAUGCGUAGAUAUGCGGAGGAAUACCGAUGGCGAAGGCAGCCCCCUGGGAUAAUACUGACGCUCAUGCACGAAAGCGUGGGUAGCAAACAGG
rnacentral:rRNA from 1 species